rnacentral:rRNA from 1 species
CAAUGCCCGAAAGGGUGACGAAGCGACGCCGCGUGCGGGAAGAAGGCCUUCGGGUUGUAAACCGCUGUCGGGAGUUAAGAAAUGUAAGGAUGUUAAUAGCAUCUUUGCUUGACUAAGGCUCCGGAGGAAGCCACGGCUAACUCUGUGCCAGCAGCCGCGGUAAUACAGAGGCGGCAAGCGUUGUUCGGAAUUAUUGGGCGUAAAGAGCACGUAGGCGGCUAUGUAAGUCGGUUGUGAAAGCCUUCCGCUCAACGGGAGAACAGCAUCCGAUACUGCAUGGCUUGAGUGCGGGAGGGGAGAGUGGAACUUCUGGUGGAGCGGUGAAAUGCGUAGAUAUCAGAAGGAACGCCGGCGGCGAAAGCGGCUCUCUGGCCCAUAACUGACGCUGAGUGUGCGAAAGCUAGGGGAGCAAACGGGAUUAGAUACCCCGGUAGUCCUAGCCGUAAACGAUGGGCACUAAGUAGAGGGGUUUU